GAAGGAAAGGAAGAACUGCGAAGUGCAGGCAGAUCCUCUGAGAAACCUCCCUCAAGUUCAAAGCAGACAACAUUUCAAGAGAGAGAAGAACCAGCCUCUGGAGGCCGGAAGAAGAGAGGCCAUGACUGCUUCAUUAGAUAACUUCUACUCCAGCAUGGUGUCUGGCACAGAGGCAGAAAGUUGAACUUGGUCCUGAAUUCCCAGUCCACCAUUUUCUCCGGUGUCUCCAAGACCCCACUCUGGAUUUGUGUAGUUAUUUAUUCUCACUUUUCCUCCACUCUCCAUGCCCAGCAGGAAAACUUUGCCAUGGAACUGUUAUAUGCUCUUGAGUCUGUUGUGUCCUGUAAAACAUGUAGCAUUGCUUCCUUUGUAUUUUAAUUUAUACAGUUGUAAAUUAAACUGCAGACUUCAACCCAGCUCUUACCCUUUUCUAUGAAGUACUGUAUUUAAUGCUGUGUGGUCCUUUAAUUUGUUAUUUCCUGUGGUGGACAGCUCUUAAGGUGGCUCCAGCCUGUUGGUAUUCAUGCCCUGUGCAAUCACCUCCUCUCACAUGUGAGCCAGACCUAGUGACCUGCUCCCAAUGAACAGAAUGUGGCAAAACUGAUAGAUGUCACUUAUGAGAUUCAGUUAGGAAAAAACCCCAUCUUCCUUCUUUGCUUUAUUAUUUUGUUCACGCUGAUGCAAGCCAGCUGAAAUGUUCAGAGCUACCUUCUACAGAGGCCCAAUGGAAGGGGCUGGAGAGAGGCCUCCAGCCAACAAUCAGCAAGGAAUUGAGGUCAACAGUUCAAUAGAACAAAAAAACCAGAAUCCUACCAACACUCUGUGAGUGACUUUGGAAGUAAACAUUUCCUCAGUCCA